rnacentral:rRNA from 1 species
GACGAACGCUGGCGGCGUGCCUAAUACAUGCAAGUAGAACGCUGAAGGAGGAGCUUGCUUCUCUGGAUGAGUUGCGAACGGGUGAGUAACGCGUAGGUAACCUGCCUGGUAGCGGGGGAUAACUAUUGGAAACGAUAGCUAAUACCGCAUAAGAGUAGAUGUUGCAUGACAUUUGCUUAAAAGGUGCAAUUGCAUCACUACCAGAUGGACCUGCGUUGUAUUAGCUAGUUGGUGAGGUAACGGCUCACCAAGGCAACGAUACAUAGCCGACCUGAGAGGGUGAUCGGCCACACUGGGACUGAGACACGGCCCAGACUCCUACGGGAGGCAGCAGUAGGGAAUCUUCGGCAAUGGACGGAAGUCUGACCGAGCAACGCCGCGUGAGUGAAGAAGGUUUUCGGAUCGUAAAGCUCUGUUGUAAGAGAAGAACGAGUGUGAGAGUGGAAAGUUUCACACUGUGACGGUAUCUACCAGAAAA